rfam:Triticum urartu cultivar G1812 contig572671, whole genome shotgun sequence.
GUUCUACUCCCUUCGUCCGAAAAAACUCGUCCCUUAAAUGUUAAAUGGAUGUAUCUAGCAUCAAGUCAGUGCUAGAUACAUCCAUUUCAUCAUUUGAGGCACAAGCUUGAGGCAAGUUUUUUCGGAUGGAGAGAGUAUUUA